GAUGAACGCUAGCGGCGUGCUUAACACAUGAAAGUCGAAAGGUGAAGCCAAGCUUGCUUGGUGGAUCAGUGGCGAACGGGUGAGUAACACGUGAGCAACCUGCCCUGGACUCUGGGAUAAGCGCUGGAAACGGUGUCUAAUACUGGAUAUGAGCCUCUUCCGCAUGGUGGGGGUUGGAAAGAUUUUUCGGUCUGGGAUGGGCUCGCGGCCUAUCAGUUUGUUGGUGGGGUAAUGGCUCACUAAGGCGGCGACGAGUAGCCGGCCUGAGAGGGUGAGCGGCCACACUGGGACUGGGGCACGGCCCAGACUCCUACGGGAGGCAGCAGUGGGGGAUGUUGCGCAGUGGGCGGAAGCCUGAUGCAGCAACGCCGCGUUAGGGAUGACGGCCUUCGGGUUGUAAACCUCUUUUAGCAGGGAAGAAGCUUUUGUGACGGUACCUGCAGAAAAAGCGCCAGCUAACUACGUGCCAGCAGCCGCAGUAA
rnacentral:rRNA from 1 species